AAGAACGUUCCCUGCCUCAUCCGUUUGGUUUCGAGUAACGUUUGGAUGCGUCCUGGCUCUGAGUGCAUGUUUGCAAUCAGCCAAAUAUUAAUUUGAUUAAGAUGACGAGGACGUUUAUUGGCACUAGUACUCCUGUCGGGUUGGAGACAGGCAGAAGGACAGGGGUAGGCGGCGGAAAGGGGGUAAGCCCUGCAAGGGUAUUUGGCACGGCAUGUAUGGACUCCCUUACCUCGAAAAUAGUGGACGGCGUGUAUACCGCCUAUGAUAGACAUCUUUAACGAAUUGGACUCCCGCAUUUGAGAAAACCCGAAGCCCCCUGCGGCGACAGUCAGGAUGUAAUGGUCCAUCUGGCAACGGCAGAUAGCAUCCUCCUGAUAAGCUCACGUUUUUCCAGAAAUCGAUCAUUGUUUAAUACUGCAACACCGUUGAACAUCAGAAGGACUGCCUGCGGGAAUGUGAAUGAUUGUCGAAACGCAGGUCAAUCCAAGUUGUUUAAAUGCUCGGCGUAUCGCCUAUUGCAGUAGGCCUCGCCCUCACUUGCAAUAGGGUCCACAACGUCAUGCUGUUUGGGCUCUUUGUUCUUAGGCAAGCUGUAGUUUUCUUGUGCGGAUAAUUAAUACCCGCCUUCCUGCCUUGGAUAAGAAUCGUUGCUACAUAAGAUGUGUACAAUUAUGCACGACAAAUUUGGCGUUCAAACGGUGUUCUGCCCAACAUUACACAUUAC
rnacentral:lncRNA from 1 species